rnacentral:pre_miRNA from 1 species
AGCUUUUCUAAUCCGUGCUGAGAGUUCAUCAGACGCCAACUCAUUAGGGCUGAUCAGACUUUCAAGAUAAGUGAAGUU